rnacentral:misc_RNA from 1 species
GAAAAUUCUUAUUUAAACUGGAUCUAUAAUGAAUCCAAAUAAAUAUAGUGAGCAUUUAUAGAAUUUUUUUUUCCAUAGCUAGACAAAAUCAAUGAUCUAAACUUCCACAUCUUUUCCAACUCUUUCUGCUAAAUGAUGUUUUGAUAUCAUCUCUGAUAUCUUACUAAGAAUAAAAUUGAGAGAAAUUUGCAAUUGAACUUCUCAUAAUAGGAAAUAAGUUUCUUCAGCUACAUGAAAUUCAAUACCAGUUUUUGAUUAGGACACUAGUAGAAAUGCAAUAUCACUCCAGUGGGAUAUGUUACACAUAAAAAUUUUAUAUAUGGGCGUCAAAGGAGAGCAAAUCCCUGAACAAUCAACGCAUCUGCAAGAACCUGAUUAGCUGCCUGAGAUGGAUGGACACUGUCCCAAAACACAUACUGGGUGGCAUUGGGGCAAGUUCCUGGAGACUUUGGAUUGCACAACAACGAUGUUGUCUCUACUGUCCCUGUCCCACAGCACCCUCUUCUUGCUUCCACAAAACCAUUAGCUGAAGGGGUUUUAACAAGGUCAUAGAGUGGCUUGAAGAUGUCGAAGACGACAAUCCUUAGAUCAGGAAGUUGUUUUUGGAGACUCGCAACAGCUGAGUUUAUCUUCUUGUUGAAUUGCUGGGCAUCAGUGUUGAUCCUGGAGACACACCCACUCCCUUGAAAUCCAAACAAGGUGCGAGCUGCAGGAAGGCAACCCAAUGGUGGGAGUGAAGUUACCCCAAGUCUCCUAGCCCCAAAACCAUACAAGUCCUGUUUUCCAAGCAGAGCUUUCUCAAAAAGAUUUAUGGCAUUUUUUGCUACUAAAUUUCACUUUGCAUGUUCUGAACAGAACUAGCAGAAAAUCUUGAAAUGAUGGUGGUAAUUAGCAGAUACCUUAACAAAGCUUGUAAAUGCACUGACAAGGAGUGAGCCAUACUGAUCAGGAGUAUAGACUUUGUUUAUCAAAGGAUUGACAUAGUAGUUCUGGAGGAAGUCGCUACUUCCUGCACUCAAUAAGUAGAGUGCACCCUUAAUGAUUGAUUCUGUUUGGUUACUUCCUGCAACCUGGGCUAGCUUACUCUUGUAUUCAUUGAAGAACUGCAACUGUUGAGACAAUGGAAUUGCAUGAUUUAACGUGGCAGCAUUUUCAUCGUAACCAGAUGCAGCUGAUGCAAAGUUAGCUCCAAUAAGAAGGUUUUUCCCUGAUGCAUCCGGGCUAAGAUAUGCAGGAGGAUAAGUCUUAAAUCCAAGAGUUUCAGCUGUUAUGUCGGUGGCUAAUUUGCCAUUGCAGAACCUCCCUGUAGGCUUUUGAUUGACAAAGUCCCUUCCAUAUGGAGGGUAAUUGGCCUUGAAAAUUGUAAGGAGAUAGUCAUUGUUCCCAACAUCUACAGCUGAGUCCCCAAAUGUAAUGAUAGCAGGAACAAGAGUAUCUUGUGCAAACCCACCAUUCAAUAAUGCAAAUGCUAAGGCCAAAACCAUGGCUACUGCUCCUCUAGAGUAGAUAUCCAUUUUUUUGUACCUGCAGUGGUGUGGGGGUGAGAGUGUUUGUUCUGACUUGAAUCUUUAUAAAGGGAACUUGAAAGUGACCUAGCUGGAGUAGUGGAUCUUUGAAGUAGGAAGAUGGAAGUUGAGAAUGGCUCAUAAAUGUGAGUUGUUCAAGUGGCCAUUGUUAGCAUUCAUAGCAUAUACAUCAUACAACUUCCAACAUAUGCUAAGAUACUUCCUUGUUUCUCUUUAUAGAUCUUCCUUUUUCUUGCAAAAUUUUGCUUAAAUCAAACAUUAGACGCAAGUGCAUGCCAUUAUGUCGGGUUAAACUCACCCAUUUUCCUAAAAUUUUCAUGAGUGUUUCCCAACGUCAAAACUGUUCAUCGGCAAUCUUAA